AGCAGCCCCAGCAGCGGCAGGUGACUGUAGCCCUAGCAGCCUAAGAAAAGGCAGCAGCCUGUGAACAGGGUGACAAAAGCAUUCCUUCUCCAUCUCAGGAAGUAGGAGAUCCUGUUCUAACCACUAGCAAGAGGAACCCUGACUCCUCCAGAAUCUCAGAUCUUCUCCGGGAGCCUGGCACCCGGGUGAGACUUGGGAUGAGUAGAAUCCUGAAAAGAGACAUAAACUGGCAGAUUCCCUCCUCACCCUCUCCCCUCAGAAGUGACACUCAGGGAACAUUGUGGUUCCACCAGCCUGGAGGACUCUUUGCCCCUUUGGGGAUGUGGACUAUGAACAGAGGCUAAUCAGACAAAGUAUGGCAAGAGCAACGGCACAAUCAGCAGAAUCUU
rnacentral:lncRNA from 1 species